GCAUGCAUCAGCCACAUCCAUGCUAUCUCCUAAAGCAGUCAUUCUGAAACCCAAUCUGGGGACAGUGCAGACUAAAUAAAAUUUCAUUUUGAUUUGGCCUCCCGCUGCGAAUGGGACUGCUUUGUCUCAGCCGACAGAACCAGCAAGCCAGAAAGACAUUUGGAGAACUGAUUCCUGAAACGAGACUCCUGGGCUGGAGAUGAGGAAACGGAGCCGUCAAAACGGAGUGACUUGCUUGAGGCCAUGCAGCUAUGAAGGGGAAGACCAGGAUCUGAAGCCAACUGGGUCUCCCAAGCCUGAGCCACUGAACCAUUUUACUUCUUGGAAAAACGUAAUAGUCACCAUGGCCCACCUAGGCCACGGACAGCAUGGAGAUAAUGAACUUUGAUCAAAAACCUAUGGUGUAUUGACUGAGCAUUUUUUCUUUUAAGACAAUAUAUUUGGAUGUCUUUUGCAUGUACAGAAUUCAAAUUAUUAAUAAUGUCCACAACAGUUGCCCUGUAUUUUUAUGCUGAAAUACAAUAAAAUGUCAACUACA